UACGAAGGGGGCUAGCGUUGUUCGGAAUUAUUGGGCGUAAAGAGCUCGUAGGCGGUUUGUCGCGUCUGCCGUGAAAGUCCGGGGCUCAACUCCGGAUCUGCGGUGGGUACGGGCAGACUAGAGUGAUGUAGGGGAGACUGGAAUUCCUGGUGUAGCGGUGAAAUGCGCAGAUAUCAGGAGGAACACCGAUGGCGAAGGCAGGUCUCUGGGCAUUAACUGACGCUGAGGAGCGAAAGCAUGGGGGAGCGAACAGG
rnacentral:rRNA from 1 species